rnacentral:rRNA from 1 species
UACGUAGGGGGCGAGCGUUGUCCGGAUUUAUUGGGCGUAAAGAGCGUGUAGGCGGCCAGGUAGGUCUGCUGUGAAAACUCGAGGCUCAACCUCGAGACGUCGGCGGAAACCAUCUGGCUAGAGUCCGGAAGAGGAGAGUGGAAUUCCUGGUGUAGCGGUGAAAUGCGCAGAUAUCAGGAAGAACACCCGUGGCGAAGGCGGCCCUCUGGGACGGUACUGACGCUGAGACGCGAAAGCGUGGGGAGCGAACAGG